UAUUAUUAGAACCAAUUAUU
rnacentral:snRNA from 1 species